rnacentral:rRNA from 1 species
AGAUUGAACGCUGGCGGCGUGCUUAACACAUGCAAGUCGAGCGGUAACGCGGGAGCAAUCCUGGCGACGAGCGGCGAACGGGUGAGUAAUGCUUGGGAAUCUGCCCAUUAGUGGGGAACAACCAGCCGAAAGGUUGGCUAAUACCGCAUACGCCCUACGGGGGAAAGCGGGGGGAUCGAAAGACCUCGCGCUAAUGGAUGAGCCCAAGUCGGAUUAGCUUGUUGGUAGGGUAACGGCCUACCAAGGCGACAAUCCGUAGCUGGUCUGAGAGGACGACCAGCCACACUGGGACUGAGACACGGCCCAGACUCCUACGGGAGGCAGCAGUGGGGGAAUAUUGGACAAUGGGGGGCAACCCUGAUCCAGCGACGCCGCGUGUGUGAAGAAGGCCUGCGGGUUGUAAAGCACUUUUAGUGGGGAUGAAAAGCUCAGGGUUAACACCGUCUGGGUCUUGACCUAACCCACAGAAAAAGCACCGGCUAACUCUGUGCCAGCAGCCGC